CAAUAGCUUAAUAAAACUCAAGGGUGGUAUGGCAUCAUCUCCAUUUGAGGGGAGGUGGUGCUUAUGACAGUUUUUCAAUCGUUAGUUUUGAUGAUUAGUUUUGCUAGUCUAAUUGUAGCGAUCCUGUCUUUUUACGAAAAAAAAUAAUCCACCCUUGAGCUGAACAGGCCAUGGUGGAUUAUUUUUGCCAUGAUAGCCGUACCCCCUAGAGGGAAAUAAGCUAUUGGUGACCAUAGGUGUUCUCAGCACCUGUG
rfam:Bacillus alcalophilus ATCC 27647 = CGMCC 1.3604 strain AV1934 contig00051, whole genome shotgun sequence.